AGAGAAAAGAAGUGGAGAAUGAAGGCUGAAGACAGAGGAAAAGGAAGAAAAAUAUUCUAGUGUGAAAUUCUGGAGCAAGAGGGCCUGUGAUAAGGUGAACAGUGCCCCACUGAGAUUAUGCUCUUGGCUUCUCUUCCUCUGUGGACUGCUCCCUGGGAGGGAAGACCUCAUUAGGUGAAUUUGGAAGGGAAACUGUGACCCAGUCCCCUCUCAUUCCCCUUCCUCUUGGAGUGAACCCAUGCAUGGAAAACACACGCUCUGUCCUGUUCUUAGAGGUCCUGAAGUUUUCAGAGACAGAAUCUGUCUUGCAGGAGAGGCUGCUCCAGUCCAGCCUGUGGACAACUCUUCUGGAUGGUUAAUUUUUCUGGGAUUUACCAGUAGAAAUCCCAUUUAUCCAAUCUUAAUUAAAGUACAUUCACUAUGUUUAACAGUAAAAAUGUAAUAUUUUGUUCUCCAUCUGCCUUAUUCUCCUCAUUUACUUCUAGCCUCACUGUCAGCUCUCUCCUUAGAAGAGUGAGGCUGAGAUGAAGGUUGUGUGUGUGCCUGUGACCUCACAUGUGUACUUGUGACUUGUGUGUAGUUGAGUCAAGAAUGAACAGGAAGGAGGCCCGGAGAGUGAGGUGGGCUUGGGGAGUCUGGUGAAGAUCUUGGAUGAAGAGGGUCACUGUGCACGUGCACUGACUCUGUGCAGGAGGAGUGGGGCAGCCAAGGAAGGACUGGCUUGGCUGAGAUACAGAGGCAGGUUAUGCUGAUGUGGUGGAAGAGUGCUGAUCGAGGACUGACUUGCCACUGCUGUUUCCGCUUAUCCUUCAGCAAAGCCCACACUACUUUGAGGGAUUUUGUCUCAUCUGAUUAGAUCCUUUCCAGGCUGGGGAAAAAAGUCUGAGGCCUUGGUGACAGGGCCAGCUGUAAGCUCAAGGAAGAAGACCCCUACACUCAGAAGGAUUUUGAAAUCAAGCCCUGGUUGGCAUCCCAUUUUGGUUUGUUCUUGGAAGACAGAAGCAAACCAAAGGUUGGAUGGCCAGAAGAACUUUGGCUGAGUUUUCCCAUUUCUUUAAUGAGACAAGGCUGCAGGAAUGAAGAGGAAACUUGGGCAAAGGUGAGGUCUUUGCGGUACAUUGUAGACCCUAAUGGAACACCAAAGGAGACAGAGUGACAUGUUGGCAAAGAGCUAUAGUCAGACUGAAUGGAACUGAAUCUACUGGAUCUAUCUUCAUUUAAAAUUUUGAUAUUUUGUUCAUCAUGGAUUUUUGAAUUUGUUUUGAUUUUUCAACAAAUGCAUUAAAAUAUUUUUUCUCUUGA